GGCGGGGGGGGUGGUUACAAUGAUAGAUGAGGGAAGUGGGCAUCACCAGGAGGGAGGAAAUAAACUUAUAAGGGCAUAAAGGGAAGGAUCAAGGGAUCAGUCACCUUGAGGGACAAGUCAUUGGAGGGAAAACAAGGGGUGCGAAGGUGUUGUUUCCUGAAAUGGGACAAUUUUUUAGCUCAUUCUCAUUAAGGCUGGAAAAAAGACAAGGUAACACUAACAACCGGGUACUUAAGAAAGGCAAAAGAAGUAGCCAAGCUCAGAGGAAGACGGUAUCUAUUUGCACUUCGUGUGUCUGGGAGUUUCUCUCCGUGGACCAGAGAUACUGUGGGAACUGGGGAGCUUUGGAGGAGGACGGUCGGAGCUGCUGCUUGGGGAAGGGAAUUCGCUGCUGCUGCCAGACCCCAGCCCAGAGCUGCUGCUUCUCCUGCCAUGGGGUGAGCCUCUGCUAGUGAGAGCAGCCACUGGACUGGGAGCUCAUUAACACCAACCUCACUACAGAGGGACCUGCCCCGUCUGCUCCUGCCUGGGAUCCUGAGCUCGGCUCUCCCUGCCCUGCUGCGAGCCGGGCUGCCCACGCAGCUUUUUCAGCACGGCUCCGAGCUUUCACUGCACUGUAGCCCCCCACCCCUGAAUGCCGAAACACCCCUGCAAUCCCAGCCUGGUGCUCCCGAGAGUCCCGCCGGGCCCCGGGAUCGGUGCCACGGGGUUUGUGGAGCGAGUCCUCUGCCCCCAUCCCGGCCCGUCUGGGCCGAGCCGCCAUCGCCACAGCGCCCCCUGCAGGCGCGGGGGAGGCACCGCCCCCGCCCGCCCUCGGGAGCAGCAGCGCCCCUGCCGGCCGAGCCCGGAACUGCAGCAGAGGGAAAGCGCCGCGGCCGAGCAGGCCGGGCCCGAGCUCGGGUUCUGUGUGGGGUCAGUGCCGGGGCUGGUGAUGUUUGUGUGCUUUAUUGCACACACUGGUCAUGAACUGCUGUUCCUAUUGUUGUAUC